GAUGAACGCUGGCGGCGUGCUUAACACAUGCAAGUCGAACGAAGCACUUUACCUGAUUUCCUUCGGGGAUGAUUGUUCUGUGACUGAGUGGCGGACGGGUGAGUAACGCGUGGAUAACCUGCCUCACACAGGGGGAUAACAGUUGGAAACGACUGCUAAUACCGCAUAAGCGCACAGCACCGCAUGGUGCAGUGUGAAAAACUCCGGUGGUGUGAGAUGGAUCCGCGUCUGAUUAGCUAGUUGGCGGGGUAACGGCCCACCAAGGCGACGAUUAGUAGCCGGCCUGAGAGGGCGACCGGCCACAUUGGGACUGAGACACGGCCCAGACUCCUACGGGAGGCAGCAGUGGGGAAUAUUGCACAAUGGGGGAAACCCUGAUGCAGCGACGCCGCGUGAGCGAUGAAGUAUUUCGGUAUGUAAAGCUCUAUCAGCAGGGAAGAUAAUGACGGUAC
rnacentral:rRNA from 1 species